rnacentral:lncRNA from 1 species
GAGAUGAUAGUCUUGCUGCCCUUACUGAGAUUGAAACACACAGAUUAGCUUGAAGCAUCUCUAGAAAGGGGAGAAUUAUUGAUCCUAAAUUGGGCCUUUUUUGCAUCUUAAAAAAAUCAGAGAUAGACCCUUUGAAAAACUCUUUCUAGAUUUUUAUCACCCACAUCUAUUGCUAUUAUUGCAACACAAUGAAAUGUUUCAGAUGCCUCGAAUUCCAGGAAUCUGGUCUCUUGCCAGAGCUGCAGAGUGAUAUGAAUAAUUUCUGGGCUCUGAUACUCGGGAUGGAUGUAUUUCUGGGAUUUUUUUUUUUUUUUGGCAGAAAUAUCACCAGAGUCUCUCUUUUAGAGAAGUCAGUGACUGCAUGCUUUAAGGCAGGCUCCAUGCCUCCUUUCAGGGUAAGCAACAGCAGAGCAGAGAUUUCCACUCAAGGCAACUCUUUUCAUUUUUCCAAGUCUCGUCGGAAGAAAAAUAUAUCAACAUCCAGGGGCAAAGAUGUGUGAAAGAUAAGCCAGUGGUACGUGACAGUUUAUCUGCCCUGAUUUUAAUGUACUUGGAAUAAUGUAGCAAGUGUGACUCUUAGUCUGUAAUCUUGGAUGUGAAAGAAAUAUAACUCCCUCUGCUUUUCAGAACUCCAGCUCUAUUUUGAGCACCCACACCGUAGUAUCAGUCACUGCAGGGGUUCCACCGACAUGGUGCCUGAGUUUGGGGGUCCACUGGUGGGAAGCCUUCACCAAGGCCCGUUUGGGCCUGAGGCUGUCUCAAUACAUAAGACUCUGCACUUGGCUGCAGGUGGCAUGUCUACCUGGAGCUCCACACAGCCACUCCUCUCACGUUGCUGGGGAAACACAGUUCCCUUUGGCAGCCCCCUGGAUAGCUGGGCUGUGUACCUACUAGGACCCUCAGCCCUCCUUCCUCCCCCUUCCUUGUGGUUCUUCUGCUUUUCCUUUUGUUGUUCAGUUGCUAAGUUGUGUCCAAGUCUUUGCAACCCCAUGGACUGCAGCACACUAGGCUUCCUUGCCCUUUACUAUCUCCCAGAAUUUGUUCAAACUUAUGUCCAUUGAGUCAGUGAUACUGUCCAACCAUCUCAUCCUCUGCUUUCCCCUUCUCCUCCUGCCCUCAAUCUUUCCCAGUACCUAGGUCUUUUCCAGUGAGUCAGCCCUUUGCAUUAAGUGGCCAAAGUGUUGGAGCUUCAGCUUCAGCAUCAGUCUUCCCAAUGAAUUUGUUGUUGUUCAGUUGCUCAUUUGUGUCCAACUCUUUGCGACCCCAUAGAAUGCAGCACACCAGGCUUCCCUGUCCUUCGUUAUCUCCCAGAGCUUGCUCAAACUCAUGUCCAUCGAGUCAGUGACGCCAUCCA